GCCUUCGUGGAUCAACGGUAGAUCAUCUCGUCCGUUGUGAUUAACUCGAUCCUGGAUUAUGAGACCGCGGGGGUUCGAAUCCCCCUGAAGGCA